rnacentral:rRNA from 1 species
GAUGAACGCUAGCGGCAGGCUUAAUACAUGCAAGUCGAACGGGAUUCAGGGUAGCAAUACUUUGAUGAGAGUGGCGCACGGGUGCGUAACGCGUAUGCAACCUACCUUUAACAGGGGAAUAGCCCCAAGAAAUCGGGAUUAAUACUCCGUAACAUUGCGGGAUGGCAUCAUUCUGCAAUUAAAGAUUUAUCGGUUAAAGAUGGGCAUGCGUGACAUUAGCUUGUUGGUGAGGUAACGGCUCACCAAGGCAACGAUGUCUAGGGGUCCUGAGAGGGUUAUCCCCCACACUGGUACUGAGACACGGACCAGACUCCUACGGGA